GAAAAGCUUAACAUUUUGUUUUGGGACGUACUGCAUUUUCGUAUAGCUUUUGGCUGCUUGUCUUCUGUGUUGUCUGUGUUGUCUGAUUCAUGCGUAAGAAGGCCAGUGAAAUAUUUAUACAAUCUGUAAUGUUGAGAGUUCUGUUUGUAAUUAGGAUCGCGUGGCUGUAUAUUACCGCUUGUGGAUUUGGCAUACAACUAUCUGAACAUUUUGCUGGUAAGACAGCGCAGAGAGAGCCUGACCUGUUCCUGAACCGAUGCGCCACUGGAACCCGUGGCCUUUGUAGAGGCUCUUGUACAGGAGGAUCAGACUGGAGUGGCCCCCGGAUUCAACGUGGCCCCCGGAGGAGCCAGCGGCGUGUGGGGACUGACGCAGUGAGAAAUCGGAGCAUGGGGGGGCUGGCCGACGCUAGCAGGCGUUCCGGGGCGCGCGACCAAUCCAGGCGCGCGGUGGAACAUCGCGCGGCCAAUCCAAGCACGGGGUCGAUCCGCCUCGCGGCCAAUCUAGGAGCAAGGUGGACCCGCCCGCGCAGCCGACCCGGAUGUACCUGGAUGUGGAUGCGCACUGAGCUCACGGACACCACCGGAGCGUGGGCUGGCCACGAUUCGUGUUGUUACUGCUGACCAGAGCUGAAGACAGCCUGUGGUGUGGAGAAAAGACCUCGAGCCGGACCUGUCUUAACUGGAAAGCCAUGCCCAGAAAUGUGUAAUUUUCGCAGUCUAAUAUUGCAUACAUUUUAAAGUAAUGUCAGUAAUUGUGGCACCAUGGGUUAAAUAAAUCAAUUUUGUCGGU